UACGGAGGGUGCAAGCGUUAAUCGGAAUUACUGGGCGUAAAGCGCACGCAGGCGGUUGGAUAAGUUAGAUGUGAAAGCCCCGGGCUCAACCUGGGAAUUGCAUUUAAAACUGUCCAGCUAGAGUCUUGUAGAGGGGGGUAGAAUUCCAGGUGUAGCGGCGAAAUGCGUAGAGAUCUGGAGGAAUACCGGUGGCGAAGGCGGCCCCCUGGACAAAGACUGACGCUCAGGUGCGAAAGCGUGGGGAGCAAACAGG
rnacentral:rRNA from 1 species